GAUGAUGAUGGGAGUCCUAAUGAAAGUGAUCGGAAAACGCUACGGCCUCCAAGUUGUUCCAAAACAUUCAAUGUUGAAAUUAGCCAUGCUGCAAAAAUUCCCAUGAAUUGAGCAUAUCCUUUUUUCAUAUUUCUGAUUAAAUUUAUGUAUUUUCAGCACCUUUCUUAUUUGUACUCCUAUAUGUUUAGAGUGAGAAGCCACUACCAAUCUAGAAUCUUUGACACCUGCUCACAUCUGUUUGAUGGCUUAUCCUCCAGAGCAAGUGAGGCUAACUUAGUCUUCUUUGGGGACUUUGAAGAAAAGAAUAGAAUUUUAGCAGGGUAGAGGGAACCCAAUCAUAUGACUUCACUGAUUUGUUCCAACUCGCCUGCACAAAGUAUUUCAAUGACGUAGUAGCUUUGCAAAAUCCGAGCCAAGUUUACAUUUUCAUUGACUAUGAAAGUCAGGGACUUCCACUUUUUGAGGUUUCUAUUAACAUUGCCCUACUGAUGAUAAAGUGCUCAAAGUGAUGGUCAAUUGAGAGAAUCUGCAUUUGGAUGGUUAAAUGUUCAAAAGAUGAUGUAGUAUAUUUUGUAAUAUGCUAUAUUCUUAACAUAAGUUUAAACUCAAGUUUGCUAGAAAUUGUACUUGGUCUG